rnacentral:rRNA from 1 species
UACAGAGGGUGCAAACGUUAUCCGGAAUCAUUGGGUUUAAAGGGUCCGUAGGCGGUUUUGUAAGUCAGUGGUGAAAGCCCAUCGCUCAACGGUGGAACGGCCAUUGAUACUGCAAGACUUGAAUUAUUAGGAAGUAACUAGAAUAUGUAGUGUAGCGGUGAAAUGCUUAGAGAUUACAUGGAAUACCAAUUGCGAAGGCAGGUUACUACUAAUGGAUUGACGCUGAUGGACGAAAGCGUGGGGAGCGAACAGG